GCAGAAGCUGAGGAGAUUCAAGGCCAUGUGAUACCAGAUUAGGUCCUGCGUGACGUGUUACUAGGGGAAAUAGCUGAGCCACCAGAAAAGUCACAGCCAGAUCUUUCCAUAUCCGUGCAAAUAGAGCUGAUGCCAAAAGGUGAUCAGAAGAUGAAGGAACCUCAAGAAACUUGCCCCCUACCAAAGUCAAGUCCUUUAAAUAAGUGAGUUUAAGAAAUACUUGCUGGAAACCUUAACAAUGGAAUUCGGUAUGUAAAUUAGUGCUCUGUUUUCUGUCACAUCAAGAAGUUAUCGCUGACAGGAUGCCUCGCUGGAAGUGAAAUCUCAACACUAGGUAACUUCAUCUUUCUCUUCUUUAGAGUGAGACAUUGACGGUUUACUCAAUCUGAACGCAUUUUCUCUUCUAUGUUGACUGCAAGUGCAGGGACCGUCCGUGGUGCAUUUACACAUGCCCAGUUUCUACUACGAAUGACUAUCAGUACUCCUACGUAUCAAUUGAAGAGAUUACUAGUCCUGUUACGGCUUUUUCAGAACUGCUGGGCGGAUGCCCAAAUUAUUCUUUGCUGCUUCGUGACUGAUUGUUAUGCCUGGGAAAAUGAACUGCAGAGAACCAUUACAAAUAUCAGUGGGACUCAGUGGCCAUUUUUGAGAUGAAUUUAGGUACAUAAAACAAUCCCUGCUGAGAGAAGAGAG
ensembl:lncRNA